rnacentral:rRNA from 1 species
ACGGGUGAGUAACGCGUGGGAAUCUACCUAGUUCUACGGAACAACAGUUGGAAACGACUGCUAAUACCGUAUACGCCCUACGGGGGAAAGAUUUAUCGGAAUUAGAUGAGCCCGCGUAAGAUUAGCUAGUUGGUGGGGUAAUGGCCUACCAAGGCGACGAUCUUUAGCUGGUCUGAGAGGAUGAUCAGCCACACUGGGACUGAGACACGGCCCAGACUCCUACGGGAGGCAGCAGUGGGGAAUAUUGGACAAUGGGCGCAAGCCUGCUCCAGCCAUGCCGCGUGAGUGAUGAAGGCCUUAGGGUUGUAAAGCUCUUUCACCGAUGAAGAUAAUGACGGUAGUCGGAAAAGAAGCCCCGGCUAACUUCGUGCCAGCAGCCGCGGUAAUACGAAGGGGGCUAGCGUUGUUCGGAUUUACUGGGCGUAAAGCGCACGUAGGCGGUUUGUUAAGUGAGAGGUGAAAUCCCAGAGCUCAACUCUGGAACUGCCUUUCAUACUGGCAAGCUAGAGUCCGGAAGAGGUAAGUGGAACUCCUAGU